GGGGAUGUGGCUCAAGCGGUAGGGCGCUUGCCUGGCAUGCAUGGGGUGCUGGGUUCAAUCUUCAGCACCACA
rnacentral:tRNA from 1 species